UUAUGGUUCCUUAGAUCGUACCUUACUACUUGGAUAACUGUGGUAAUUCUAGAGCUAAUACAUGCAGCAGAGCUCCGACCUUCGGGGACGAGCGCUUUUAUUAGACCAAGACCAAUCGGACUUCGGUCCGAAGCUCAUGGUGACUCUGGAUAACUUUGGGCUGAUCGCACGGUCUCGUACCGGCGACGCAUCUUUCAAGUGUCUGCCUUAUCAACUUUCGAUGGUAGGUUAUGCGCCUACCAUGGUCGUAACGGGUAACGGGGAAUCAGGGUUCGAUUCCGGAGAGGGAGCCUGAGAAACGGCUACCACAUCCAAGGAAGGCAGCAGGCGCGCAAAUUACCCACUCCCGGCACGGGGAGGUAGUGACGAAAAAUAACAAUACGGGACUCUAUUGAGGCCCCGUAAUUGGAAUGAGUACACUCUAAAUCCUUUAACGAGGAUCUAUUGGAGGGCAAGUCUGGUGCCAGCAGCCGCGGUAAUUCCAGCUCCAAUAGCGUAUAUUAAAGUUGUUGCGGUUAAAAAGCUCGUAGUUGGAUCUCAGUUCCAGACGGGUGGUCCACCCCUGGUGGUUACUGCCUGGCCUGAACAAAUCCAGCCGGUUUUCCUUGAUGCUCUUCACCGAGUGUCUUGGGUGACCGGCACGUUUACUUUGAAAAAAUU
rnacentral:rRNA from 1 species